rnacentral:rRNA from 1 species
UGAGGAAUAUUGCACAAUGGAGGAAACUCUGAUGCAGCCAUGCCGCGUGCAGGAUGAAUGCCCUAUGGGUUGUAAACUGCUUUUAUACAAGAAGAAACAUCAGUACGUGUACUGACUUGACGGUAUUGUAUGAAUAAGCACCGGCUAACUCCGUGCCAGCAGCCGCGGUAAUACGGAGGGUGCAAGCGUUAUCCGGAUUUAUUAGGUUUAAAGGGUCCGCAGGCGGAAUAUUAAGUCAGUGGUGAAAGCCUACAGCUCAACUGUAGAACUGCCAUUGAAACUGUUAUUCUUGAGUAUGGAUGAAGUGGGCGGAAUAUGUCAUGUAGCGGUGAAAUGCAUAGAUAUGACAUGGAACACCAAUUGCGAAGGCAGCUCACUAAACCAUUACUGACGCUCAUGGACGAAAGCGUGGGGAGCGAACAGG